CUCCCCAUGGCCCUGUCUCCCAACCCUUGUACCAGUGCUGGGCUCAGACCCUGGUACAGGCCUGGGGGACAGGGACCUGGGGAC
rnacentral:pre_miRNA from 10 species